ACACGACUACUAUUAGACUACCCGCGUAGUCCUAGCCGUAAACGAUACUCGCUAGGUGUCGGCCACGGUGCGACCGUUGUCGGUGCCGUAGGGAAGCCGUGAAGCGAGCCGCCGUGGGAAGUACGGUCGCAAGGCUAGAAACUUAAAGGAAUUGGCGGGGAGCACCACAACGGGUGGAGCCUGCGGUUUAAUUGGACUCAACGCCGGGAAGCUCACCGGAUAAGACAGCGGAAUGAUUGCCGGGCUGAAGACUCUGCAUGACUAGCUG
rnacentral:rRNA from 1 species